GACGAACGCUGGCGGCGUGCCUAAUACAUGCGAGUUGAGCGCUGAAGGUUGGUGCUUUUACCAACUGGAUGAGCAGCUAACGGGUGAGUAACGCGUGGGUAAUCUUCCAUUGAUCGGUGGACAACAUCUUGAAACGAAUUCUACUACCGCAUAAAAACUUUUAACACAAGUUUCAAGUUUUAAAGAUGCCAUUGCAUCACUCAUAGAUGAUUCCGAGUUUUAUUAGCUAGUUGGUUAGGGAAAGGCCCACCAAAGCCAAGGUACAUAGUCGACCUGAAAGGGUGGUCGGCCAAAUCGGGACUGGGAAAAGGGCCAAAACCCUACGGGAAGCAGCAGUAGGGAAUCUUCGGAAAUGGACGACAGUCCGAACGAGCAAAGACGCGUGAGUGAAGAAGGUUUUCGGAUCGUAAAACCCUGUUGGUAGAGAAGAACGUUGGGGAGAGUGGAAAGCUCAUCAAGUGACGGUAACUAAACAGAAAGCGACGGCUAACUACGUG
rnacentral:rRNA from 1 species